UACGGGGGGGGCAAGCGUGGUUCGGAAUUACUGGGCGUAAAGGGCUCGUAGGUGGCCAACUAAGUCAGACGUGAAAUCCCUCAGCUUAACUGGGGAACUGCGUCUGAUACUGGAUGGCUUGAGUUUGGGAGAGGGAUGCGGAAUUCCAGGUGUAGCGGUGAAAUGCGUAGAUAUCUGGAGGAACACCGGUGGCGAAGGCGGCAUCCUGGACCAACACUGACACUGAGGAGCGAAAGCCAGGGGAGCAAACGGG
rnacentral:rRNA from 1 species